rnacentral:rRNA from 1 species
AUUGAACGCUGGCGGCAGGCCUAACACAUGCAAGUCGAGCGGAUGAAGGGAGCUUGCUCCUGGAUUCAGCGGCGGACGGGUGAGUAAUUCCUAGGAAUCUGCCUGGUAGUGGGGGAUAACGUCCGUAAACGGGCGCUAAUACCGCAUACGUCCUGAGGGAGAAAGUGGGGGAUCUUCGGACCUCACGCUAUCAGCUGAGCCUAGGUCGGAUUAGCUAGUUGGUGGGGUAAAGGCCUACCAAGGCGACGAUCCGUAACUGGUCUGAGAGGAUGAUCAGUCACAAUGGAACUGAGACACGGUCCAGACUCCUACGGGAGGCAGCAGUGGGGAAUAUUGGACAAUGGGCGAAAGCCUGAAGCAGCCAUGCCGCGUGUGUGAAGAAGGUCUUCGGAUUGUAAAGCACUUUAAGUUGGGAGGAAGGGCAGUAAGUUAAUACCUUGCUGUUUUGACGUUACCAACAGAAUAAGCACCGGCUAACUUCGUG